rnacentral:rRNA from 1 species
AGAGUUUGAUCCUGGCUCAGGAUGAACGCUGGCGGCGUGCCUAACACAUGCAAGUCGAGCGAAGCACUUUACUUUGAGAUCUUCGGAAGGAUAAGUUUAGUGACUGAGUGGCGGACGGGUGAGUAACGCGUGAGGAACCUGCCUCAAAGAGGGGGACAACAGUUGGAAAUGACUGCUAAUACCGCAUAAGCCCACGGUUCUGCAUGGAACUGAGGGAAAAGGAGCAAUCCGCUUUGAGAUGGCCUCGCGUCCGAUUAGCUAGUUGGUGAGGUAACGGCCCACCAAGGCGACGAUCGGUAGCCGG